GACACGGAGCUGCUUUCUCCGGCAGCGGCUGCGAUCGGCUUCAGAGAGCGGCGCUCAGAGCAGGGGUGUGGGAGCCUCGCUGGGAGAAAGGAGCGGAGAGAAUUCACAAGUCCCGGAUACAGGUACUCAAUAGAGUUGCCAACUGCUGGUUGGGAAGAUGGUUAGUCAGCCGCAGAAACAAAGGUCAGGGAGGUCGGGAGCCUUCAAUAAAUCCUGCCACCAGGUACUCAGGAAGUUCCUGACUCGAUAGACUUCCCAACUGCAGGGUGUCUGGUCCGUCACCACAUUGAAGACGGUUGGUCAGCCAGAGAGACAAA